UAGAGAGGGUGCAAGCGUUGUUCGGAAUUACUGGGCGUAAAGCGCGUGUAGGCGGUUUGGUAAGUCAGACGUGAAAUUCCUUGGCUCAACUGAGGAACUGCGUCUGAUACUGCCUGACUCGAGUGUCGGAGGGGAUGGUGGAAUUCCCGGUGUAGAGGUGAAAUUCGUAGAGAUCGGGAGGAACACCCGUGGCGAAGGCGACCAUCUGGAAGACAACUGACGCUGAGACGCGAAAGCGUGGGUAGCAAACAGG
rnacentral:rRNA from 1 species